GUCGUCUUUUGUUCCAUCUCAUUUCAGUGACCAUCAAUACAUCUGUCUUUUCCCUUCUCAGCUGGAUGUGGUUGACAGUAAUCCAAUUGGAUAUAAGCCCAGAUGCAUUUCUUUCUUUCUUCCUUCUUUGUAAUCUGAUCUCUCCUGCUAACACGUAUAAAAUUCAGCUUUCAGCUCCAUUUCCAGCUCCCCAGGUGCCUCUUUCUCCUGCUGCUGCUGUCAGAGGUGGAGGCUGGAUCCCAGCACGAGAGCUUGGAGUUGCACGAUGGCAACA